UGGGGAAUAUUGCGCAAUGGGCGAAAGCCUGACGCAGCAACGCCGCGUGUGGGAUGACAGCUUUCGGGUUGUAAACCACUUUCAGGGAUGACGAAAAUGACGGUAAUCCCAGAAGAAGCUCCGGCCAACUACGUGCCAGCAGCCGCGGUAACACGUAGGGAGCAAGCGUUGUCCGGAUUCAUUGGGUUUAAAGGGUGCGUAGGCGGACUGAUAAGUCAGUGGUGAAAUCUCUCGGCUUAACCGAGAAACUGCCAUUGAUACUGUUAGUCUAGAGUACAGAUGAUGUGGGCGGAAUAUGACAUGUAGUGGUGAAAUACUUAGAUAUGUCAUAGAACACCGAUUGCGAAGGCAGCUCACAAAACUGUAACUGACGCUGAGGCACGAAAGUGCGGGGAUCAAACAGGAUUAGAUACCCGCGUAGUCCCUGAGCGGGCUGGCAAGGCGCAU
rnacentral:rRNA from 1 species